UACGUAGGUGGCAAGCGUUGUUCGGAAUUAUUGGGCGUAAAGGGCGCGUAGGCGGUUUGUUAAGUCAGCUGUGAAAGCCCGGGGCUCAACCUCGGGUCUGCAGUCGAUACGGGCAAACUAGAGUAUUGCAGGGGAGACUGGAAUUCCACGUGUAGCGGUGAAAUGCGUAGAGAUGUGGAGGAACACCAAUGGCGAAGGCAGCCUUCUGGGCCAACACUGACGCUCAUGCACGAAAGCGUGGGGAGCAAACAGG
rnacentral:rRNA from 1 species